ensembl:snoRNA
CCUUCUUUUCUUGGUGGUCCAAGUGUAUGGUCCUGCUCCCAGUUUUGCACUUAGGCAAAGGGAAAGGGGCUCCGGCCUCCUCAGCAUCACAUCUUCAGAGCUGGCAAUUUCCUGUUCACUGAUUUUAUCCUCAAGUUGUGGUAAAGCA